GGGGCCGUCGUCUAGCUUGGUAGGAUGCGGGGCACACUCCCCCGUGGUCCGGGGUUCAAAUCCCCGCGGCCCCACCA
rnacentral:tRNA from 1 species